GAUGAACGCUGGCGGCGUGCCUAAUACAUGCAAGUAGAACGCUGAAGGAGGAGCUUGCUCUUCUGGAUGAGUUGCGAACGGGUGAGUAACGCGUAGGUAACCUGCCUGGUAGCGGGGGAUAACUAUUGGAAACGAUAGCUAAUACCGCAUGACAACAGUUAUUGCAUGAUAACUGUUUAAAAGGGGCAACUGCUCCACUACCAGAUGGACCUGCGUUGUAUUAGCUAGUUGGUGAGGUAACGGCUCACCAAGGCGACGAUACAUAGCCGACCUGAGAGGGGGAUCGGCCACAUGGGAACUGGGACACGGCCCGAAUUCCACGGGAGGCAGCAGUAGGGAAUCUUCGGCAAUGGACGGAAGUCUGACCGAGCAACGCCGCGUGAGUGAAGAAGGUUUUCGGAUCGUAAAGCUCUGUUGUAAGAGAAGAACGAGUGUGAGAGUGGAAAGUUCACACUGUGACGGUAUCUUACCAGAAAGGGACGGCUAACUACGU
rnacentral:rRNA from 1 species